AAAACUAUAAAAUAAAAAUGUUGGCCUUUUAUUUUUAUUCUCAAUCGCCACGUAUCGUACUUUAAUUGUCCAAAAAGAAAAAUACACAUAGUCUCCAUUGAAAUGUGGUUUCAUUGGCAAUACAAACACAUGCAUGGUUGUAUAUAUUAGGUGUUUUCCGUUCUCCAGGCUAUCUCCUCGGCGCAAGGCCAUCCCAUAGAUCUUAAUUCUUCUAGCACGCAUCUCCGGCUUCAUGCUGUCGACAACAACUUCUACAACAUCUCUCAUCGUCCGCAACGGAUAGCACCUUCCCUCGCUCCCAUCACAAACGGGUCGCCGUCCUGUCCGAUCGGGUCUAAUCACAAAGGUUUGGACAAAUAGCUCUCCUGUACAGGUAACAAACACAUAAGCAUCCUCAUAGGUAUUCCUAACUAUCUCUUUGAUGUUGCAGCUCAAUGACGAAGUCUUCCAUGGCAUACAAAACCUUUUGUCAGAUCAAUACUAGCAGUAGAGGAAAGGAAUUAACAAUCAAGGCAAGAUUAACAAGAUUGGGAUUUCAUAUUGAUCGGUAAUGGUGAAAUACUUAGUCUACGCAUGGUCCUUAUUGAUGAAGAGGUAUUAUGGUUCCCUCAUAGAAAUUACAUCCUUUCUUGAUUUUUUUUAUAAUUUAGCUUCAAUCUACAUGCUAAUCUACAUGCAAAUUACAAAUACAAUUGAAGGGGACAAUGUUGCAUGGAGUUAUCAAUAAGGCACGUAUCAAAAAGUUAAGGUCAUUAAUUCAAGAAGGCAAUGUGUACCUCAUUAAAAAUGUGAGUCAUUCCAGCAGCAGCAAAAUCCUAUAUGAGAUGAUGAUUAACUUCUCACCCACAAGAAAUAUAGAGGAGACUGAACGAAGAUAAUGAAGACAUUCCAAAGCAUGGUUUCAACUUCUCAAGCGUGGAGGUACUCUCCCAAAGAGUAAGCAUUGACACUUAUCUCUUAGGUAUGAUAUCAAUGAACUUUUAAGAUACAAUAUGCCAUACUUCUUCAUGACAUGUAUAAAAUGCCAUCUGCAACACACAUAGGACCAAGUGAAGAAACUAAAACAUAUCUUGGGCCCUCCAGAAUCCAUGAUAUUUUCCUUCUAAUCGAGUAAGCCAAAAAAUACAUCUUAUUUGCAGCGAAGUUUCUCAAGUCAUGUCUUCAUGUUUUACUUUUUGUUGACAGAGACAGCUGAUCUAAUUGAUGUCAAGUCAAUAGGGAAUGUCAUUACAAGUACAUCGACAACAGUGAGGAAAUUUGGCAGUAUGUCUUCUUUCAAAUUUUAAUUACUUAUUUUAUUAUCUCUCUGUUUGGUUUUACAUAGGAAAAUGAUUAUUUGAACCACUAUGCAGGAUAUUCUCUAUCGUCAAAUAGUGCAACUCAAGUUUUUAUAAAUUUAGAUAUUCCUGAGAGUAUGGAUGUACAAAAUAGGUAAGCAAAAUUCCUACAAAUAUUGCCCAUUUAACGUCAAUGUCAGUACUACUUACCCUGGCUCAUAACUUUUUGUCUCCAAAUAACAUUUGUUCCAAAAAUAUAUCAAAGAACUACAUGUUUGAGGAGAACCAUCUAAAAGGGACACUGGAAGAGCAAAUGCGCUACAAUAGAAAAAUUUAGAAGAGUUAAAUGGCAUUCUGUUAGACUCAUCAAAUCAGGUUUGUAAUCCAGCGAUAAUAAUGAAUUGUUUUUUCCCACACAGAAGCAUAAAUAUAUUUAUAUUACUCUACAGGGAAGUAUAUUUACCAUGGAAGCAGUAAUUAAUGAUGUUAAUGCAAGAUAUGGUUGGUACUACAUAUCAUGCAGCGGAAAUAAUUGCAAGAAGCGACUUGAAAAGAGAAUUGAUUACUACUAUUGUACCAAAUGCGAUAGGAAAGCUCAACCCAAACCACGGUAAAAAAUUUAACAUAUCUCUAUCUUAAUAGUUUUAAUAGAAUAAUUUUUAAAUUAAUUCACUACAUAUUUUGCAGAUAUAAGAUUAAGCUUGAACUUAGUGACUCGAGAGUCUGCAUCUUGCGUUCUUUUUGAAAAAGAGGCCCAACAAUUAAAUCAUGAGUUAGCAGAAAACAUGGUUGCAUCAACAAUAGCUGGUCGAUGAGGUAAAUUCUUAUAUCAUGGGUAGAAUAGAAGGUGAAGAGGUAACCUAUCGAAGCUCAGAUAUAGUGUGCAAAGGAAUGUCAAAUUCAUAAGAUGGAGAUCAUUUGUACCCAACAGAAUUCCAGAAUAGCUUUAAGUGCCCUGGAAUACCAGACCACGAAAUACGGCUGAAAGUUGGACUGCCAGUUAUGCUGCUACGGAAUAUCAACCAAAGAGAAGGCUUAUACAAUGGUACGAGACUAACUAUAACACACCUAGGCAAAUGGUUCAUAGAAGCUCAAAUGAUGACAGGAACAAACAUUGGAAACAAGGUAUAUAUUCCAAGGUUUAUUAUGUCACCAAGUGACUCAAAAUGGCCAUUUGUGUCGAAAAGGAGGCAAUACCCAAUAUCAGUUUGUUUUGCAAUGACAAUAAAUAAGAGUCAAGGGUAGUCGCUAAAACAUGCGGGGCUAUAUUUACCAAAGCACGUCUUCACACAUGGUCAACUCUAUGUAGCAGUAUCAAGAGUCACAAGUAGAGAUGGACCUAAAGUUCUAAUUUCAGAUGAAGAAUCAAGGAAAAUAAUUCGGCAAAAAAUAUUGUGUACAAGGAGAUCCUUUAGUAAAGGGACCUUAGAAUAUUUCUAUUUUACUCUAUGUAACCUUCUUCAAAAGGAAAUCAUAUGGAUUUCAGACGAAUCAGGUAUUUCUGCGGACACACAUGACUAUGUUUGCCAAUUUGAUCUAGCACUAAAAAAAUCUGUGGUCUAUGCAUUGCAUAAUUAGUAUUAAAAAACUAGAUGAAUCAUGAAUCUGUACCUUCAGUUUACUAAGUAUUCACAGUUUGGAUCUCACGACUCAUGCCCUAAUCUGUCUCAUAGCUCUGACAUGAGCAUAAUAUAAUUGAAUGUGCAUCUGUCAAUACCAAAUAAAAGAUCCAUCAACAUCUCUUCCUUGGGCAUGAUUGAGCACGAAAUGGCAAGAUUGUCGUUUUCCUAUGUAAAUAUACUUGGAUGAUUUCAUUAAUGAUGAUUCAGGUCGUAUAGCCGACCAAGCAAGGGCUAGAUUUGAUUAUUAUUUUCGUAAUAUCCCAAGAUCAAUUCUGUCAAUAGCUGUGUGCUGUCAUUAAGCAUGGAGCGGUUGGUUCUUGAUUCCCACAUUAUAUGCCUAAAUGGUAACGAAUGUGGUCUGCUCUACAGGUAUUAUAGCGACCACAUAUUACAGGUUACAUCCUACAAAUUCAAACAAUUUAGCUCAGGCAAAAACAAACAAAAUAAGCUAACACAGGUGUACCGAUUCAGAUCAAAUAGUCUCCUUGAUGACUCCUCUACCACCCAUCUGUACACCACACAUACAUCAACUCAUUGCAGAUCUGCACAGAUCCAAAAGGGAAAUAAGGCAUCCCUCGAAGCAAGUUUCCAAUUCUUAAGAUACUACAUGCACAAAAUUAAAUGAUUUAACCACACCUGAUGUAUCCCAUAGUGGUUGCUUUGUAAGAUUUGUCGCUGAGAAAUUGAAGGACUGGGAACAAAAUGUAUGACCAGUGGUUGGAUCGAGGGUUUCAUUUUGGGGGAACGGCGAGUGGGGAGAGGGAGGGCAGUCGGCGCCGCGGGUGGGAUUGGAACUAGCGGUGACUCGGCGUCGCACCCCGGCGGAUUUCUGGAUCAAUCUUUGCCAUGGCUGAAGAUGUCCAUUUUUGGGAGAUGAGGGAAG
rnacentral:lncRNA from 1 species